rnacentral:rRNA from 1 species
CCUACGGGGUGCAGCAGUGGGGAAUAUUGGACAAUGGGCGAAAGCCUGAUCCAGCCAUGCCGCGUGUGUGAAGAAGGCCUUCGGGUUGUAAAGCACUUUCAGUGGGGAAGAAAGCCUUGGGGCUAAUACCCUCGAGGAAGGACAUCACCCACAGAAGAAGCACAGGCUAACUCAGUGCCAGCAGCCGCGGUAAUACGGAGGGUGCGAGCGUUAAUCGGAAUUACUGGGCGUAAAGCGCGCGUAGGCGGUCUGAUAAGCCGGUUGUGAAAGCCCCGGGCUCAACCUGGGAACGGCAUCCGGACCUGUCAGGCUAGAGUGCAGGAGAGGAAGGUAGAAUUCCCGGUGUAGCGGUGAAAUGCGUAGAGAUCGGGAGGAAUACCAGUGGCGAAGGCGGCCUUCUGGACUGACACUGACGCUGAGGUGCGAAAGCGUGGGUAGCAAACAGGAUUAGAUACCCCUGUAGUC